UACGGAGGGAGCUAGCGUUGUUCGGAAUUACUGGGCGUAAAGCGCACGUAGGCGGCUUUGUAAGUUAGAGGUGAAAGCCCGGGGCUCAACUCCGGAACUGCCUUUAAGACUGCAUCGCUUGAAUCCAGGAGAGGUGAGUGGAAUUCCGAGUGUAGAGGUGAAAUUCGUAGAUAUUCGGAGGAACACCAGUGGCGAAGGCGGCUCACUGGACUGGUAUUGACGCUGAGGUGCGAAAGCGUGGGGAGCAAACAGG
rnacentral:rRNA from 1 species